AUUGAACGCUGGCGGCAUGCCUUACACAUGCAAGUCGAACGGCAGCACGGACUUCGGUCUGGUGGCGAGUGGCGAACGGGUGAGUAAUGCAUCGGAACGUGCCAUUGAGUGGGGGAUAACGUAGCGAAAGUUGCGCUAAUACCGCAUAUUCUGUGAGCAGGAAAGCAGGGGACCGCAAGGCCUUGCGCUCUUUGAGCGGCCGAUGUCAGAUUAGCUAGUUGGUGAGGUAAAGGCUUACCAAGGCGACGAUCUGUAGCGGGUCUGAGAGGAUGAUCCGCCACACUGGAACUGAGACACGGUCCAGACUCCUACGGAGGCAGCAGUGGGGAAUUUUGGACAAUA
rnacentral:rRNA from 1 species